AUAAGCAGGCCUAGAAGGAUCUAGGGGUCUGAGAACCAAGGUGUUUCAACUCCAGACCCAUCUGUUUUGACUAUGGCUAAGUAUUUGGGCUAACAACAAUUUCUUUAUGCUCUGGAAUGCCUGGGAAAGUUGGUCCCCAUCUGAAGUUGCUCCUUGAUACGUGUGAUUCUGUCAGUGCCUAGGGAGUGUGUGGGGUACAUUGUUUCCUACGGGGAAAAAAUGACCUGGAGCAGCAAGUUGGGAACUGAAGAGUGUUCCAGGGCUUCUUCCGAGAACUGAGAAUGAGAGGGGAGAUAGAGGAAGAGGGCCUGGGGAUGGAAAGGGGGAGGUGAGAGCCAUGAGCCUGG
rnacentral:lncRNA from 1 species